rnacentral:rRNA from 1 species
GACGUAGGGCGCGAGCGUUGUCCGGAUUUAUUGGGCGUAAAGAGCUCGUAGGCGGCUUGUCGCGUCGACUGUGAAAUCCCGCGGCUCAACUGCGGGUCUGCAGUCGAUACGGGCAGGCUAGAGUUCGGUAGGGGAGACUGGAAUUCCUGGUGUAGCGGUGAAAUGCGCAGAUAUCAGGAGGAACACCGAUGGCGAAGGCAGGUCUCUGGGCCGAUACUGACGUGAGGAGCGAAAAGCGUGGGGGAG